rnacentral:lncRNA from 1 species
AGCUGCUAAGGGUUCUCUGGAGCCCGUGCGUCUGAACCUAUGAUAUAAGACAUCAUAGUGCAAAAGAAAAGCAUCAUCAGUACUUUGAAUAUAGUGGUAUGCUCAGUGAGGUAGGGUGAAAUGAAUGGGUUCAUAUGCAUGAAAAAUACUAACUAAAUAACAUAAGUAUAAUUGAAUGAGAGUACAUGCAUGAAUAUGUAGACUGUAACUGAGAUCAAGAUAACACUAACUACUGAGUCUGAAUACUAAUUUACUAAUAUCUGAGUUUACUGAUACUACAUUAUUAAUAACUAGAUGAUUGUAUCUGACAGUCUUGAUUUUGUGGAACUAUACUGAGUUCCGUACAGAGCUGACUGACUAUAACUAAUAUUCGUGAGUCUGUAGAACUGAACUGAGUUCUAUACUGAGACUGAAUCUGAAACUAAGACUAUAGGAGAUAAUCAUCUAAAUGACAUGCCCCUUUCUAAAUAGAUUAGGGUAACCUAUAACCCCAGUUGGAAGGGUGUCAAUACCAUGCCACAAGUAGAGACAAGUUGUGAGUUAACCCUCUUUGACAGGAAGCUCUUUCAUCAACCCACGCUGGUAGGAAAACUUGAACGAGAUGUAUUAACCCUCAUAAUAACUAGCAGUAAGAUAUCUCAACCUACACUGGCUACGUAGUUCUAUAAUGCAANNNNNNNNNNNNNGGAAUGCCUUUAUCCCUAGGUUCGCUCGGUGCUGAAUCCUACUCCCAACUGAAUAAACACUGAGUUGAUUUCUAGUUUGUACUAGGCUGGACUGAACUUUUACUAAAUUUAUAGAAUUUUUUAGACUGGCAGAAUACCACUGAAUGAGUUUACUGAGGUCCGAACUGAUUACUAAAUUAGACUAGACUAGUACUGAGUUAUUCCUGAGUCUUGUGACUGGCUGAGAGUACUACUAUUCGUGACAUAACUGACACUGCCUCUGAGUACACAGCUAAAUUAUCGGGUAUUAAAUACCCCCAGGACUCGAUAGCAUGAAAUUAAAUCAUAAUAUAGUCGUGAAAAGUAUAAUCAUGUUCACUUGGUCAUAACUCAUUCGUGGAGGCAUUUUAUCAAACACUUGCAUGAUACAAUUCGCACAUAAGCUGACAUGACAUGAUUUCCUUCUCUUAUUGGUUAACAUGAGCAAUUCAUCAAGAACUUAAUGAGCAUGAUACAUGUACAUAACAUUAAACACAAGUAAACAUCAUAAUUCAACUCCAACUUCAUAAUUUCAAGGGUUCGAUGUGGAUUCACAUGAUAUUACAUAUAUAUUAAUUAAUCCCACAUGAAAUUUAUCAUAAAACAUGGAUUAGAAUCCCAAUUAAUUAUUAUAAACAUGAAUUUAAUCAAACCCAACAUGAAAUUUAUGAAAACUAUAUACUUAAAGUUUAAAAAUAGUUUCUUGGACUCCAAGGGUUGAAGGAACCCUUGGAUGAACACUCCACAUACCUUAGUUGGUGAAUUUUUAAUAAUUAAUGGUGGAAUCUGAAGCAUUGAAUUUGAAUUUAAUUUGCCUAGGGUUUUUGUUCUUGAGCAAUUUGUGAAAGAAUGAAUAUAACUUGCUAAAAAUGGGCUAAAUUUCGUGUUAUGGGGGCAGAAGGGCAUGGAAAAAGACUUAAUUAACCCUGAGGAUGCUGCUUUUUAAUGAUUGGAAAUUGUGCUAUCGAUGCACAUACCGAUGCGCCGCAUCGUUAUCAUCGACGUGAUGACCAAUGUGUCACGUCAAGUCCGCAUUGGUUCACUGGAAUUUGCACUGAGAAGAAGGAAAAAUUAUCUGUCAAUACGAUGGAUAAUAUGACGCAUUGAUAUCGCGUCGACUCACUAUUUUGGUCACUCAAACAUGGUCUAAACGAGGUCUAAAAUAUCUAAAACUUAUCUGAGAACAGGUAUUGUCCUUCCUGGUCAUGAACUAUGUAAGACCCCAUAAAAUUCUUAAGAUUAAUUUAGUCCUUUAAGUUUGUCAAGGGGUCCCAGCCCUAGAAAAUUUUAGCUAAGUUCCCAGACUUAGUUUAUUUUGGCCUUCAAAAUUUGGAAAUCUUAUUUAGCCACCUUGAUGUUGGUCAUGUGUUCAAGAAGUGUCAUGCCUUGUCAGUUUCCUUCUAUCGAGUCUUGGGGGUACUUAUACCCAACAAUGUAGCUGUGUGCCUAAAGCCAGUGUCAGUUUUCAUGAUACUCUCAUUCAAACCAUAAUCAUUAGAAUUUAGUCAGUCUCAUGACUCAGGAAAACUCAGUAAAUUCUACUUAGUAAUCUCAGUAACCUCAGUAAUCUUUGUAAUCUCAGUAAUCCUAGUUAGUUAUCAGAUCUCAGUAAUAUUCUGUUAGUCAAUGUAAUUUAGUGAACUCAGUUCGAAUCAGUUAUACAAUACUAUAAGUAAUAGUUCAGUUUGGUUUAAAUUAGUUCUGUGUCUUUUCAGUUGGGAGUAGGAUUCAGCACCUAGAGAACCCAAGGAUGGGGACUCACCUGUUAGCCAGUAGAGGGUGUGAUCCUUAGAAACAAUCCUUGCGUUCCAGAACUACAUAGCCAUCAUAGGUUAAGCUAUACCCUAUGAGUUUAGGGAUUAUACACCUUAUUUGAGUUUUCCUACUAGGAGGGGUUGACGGAAGAGCUCCCUGUCAGAGAGGGUUUACUCACAGGUUAUCUUUUCCCAUGGUACGGUACUGACACCCUUCUAACUGGGGUUAUAGGUUGGACCCCAAUAGUUCAGUUCUGGGGCAUAUCGGUUAGAUAAUUACCUCCCACAAUCUCAGUUUCAGUCUCACUAAUAGAACUCAGAUAGUUCUACAGAAUUUAGGACUGUCAGAUGUGGUCACUCAGUACAGUAUAGUACUCAGCUAGUUCUAUCAGAACCUAGACUGUCAUACACAAUCACUUAGUACAGUACAGAACUCAGCUAGUUCUAUUAGAACCUAGAUUGUCAGACACAGUCGCUAAGUAUUCAUUAAAUCAGUUAUCAGUAACUUAUGUUAUCAGUAUUUAGUUUCAAGACUGUCAGAUACAGUCAAUCAUACCAGUUCUUCAUAACCAAAACUGUCAAAAAUAGUCAUUCCUUUAUGAGUAAUAUGACAUCAGUCCCUAAGUACUCUAUAGACUCGGUUAUUCAGUACCCCAGUAUUAGAACUAAGAUAUCACUAAAUCCAUAUGAUUAGAAUUCAUUAGUUAGUGUUUUCAUGGUCUCAUUUACAGUUAUGCAUUCAUGUAUGUAUUCUCACGUUCAUGUUAUUCAGUUAGUAAUGUUCAUGCAUAUGAACCCUUGUAUUCAGCCUUACCUCAAUUGCAUACCAGUACAUUUAAUCGUACUGACAUAUUUGUAUUAUGGUGUUUUAUUCUGUACCAUAGGUUUAGAAGCAUGAACUCCAAAGCAUUAGUAGCAUUUCCAGUUUCAGCAGUCAGAGUCAGCAAUGAGUCCUCUUCCUUCGAGGACAUGAUUAUUAUUUUAUUAUAUCAUUACUUAUCUUAUUUCAGUAGUUGGAGUUAGUUAGGGACAUGUCCCAUCAACUCCUUAUUCAGACAGUUUAGAGGCUUUUAGACUAUAGUAUGUUCAGAUAAUUUAUUUCUGUAUUGGGUAUUUCUAUACCUCACUCAGAUAUUAUUUUCUCAAUUAUGUUACAGUUUUGACUGCCUUGCAGCUUAUAUUAUGCAUCUUUACAGUAUAUAAAUACAUAUACAUAUAUAUGUGUGUGUAUAUUAUGCAGUGCUCAAGUACAGAUAUCAGUCAUGGUUUAGCUUGUGGUCCUUCAAGGUCAUGAGCACUGUGUAGAAUUCUGGGUACCAGAUUUGAGGAGUUAUAAACUUGGUAUCAGAGCCUAAGGUUCAACAGUGUCCUAGGAAGUUUGAAAACCCGCAUUUAGUAUACUCUUAUACAUGGGUGUGUUGUGCACCAUACUUAUGUGCAGGAGGCUAUGAGAUAUUUUAGGAACAGUUUCCCUUCUUUCAGUAUUCAUGUUGUUCCAGUGAGCAUAAGCUUGAAUUUAACUCUCAGUUAAACCGUUCUCCCUUUCGUUUAUAGAAUAUUCCUCCCAAACGGACUAAUGAAAGGAGAAUAGGAAAUCAGUCAGCACCUCUGCCCAUUCAGGCAGAUCCUCUGGAUGAGCACGUCUCUCAUGCAGAAUUCAGAACUCCAUUUACUACUCUAGACAAUUCAGUUACAACUUAGAACGAAUGAUCAGCUGUUGUUCCGGCCAACUCAGUGGCCAAUUCUGCUGCAACCAGGAUUAGGGACUUCACCCGAAUGAAUCCUCCCCUAUUCUCUGGUUCUAAGUCUGAAGAAGAUCCACAGGAGUUCCUCGAUCAAGUUCAGAAAGUCACGAAUAUCAUGGAAGUGACUUCCAGUGAGAGUGCAGUGUUAGCUGCCUAUCAGCUACAAGAUGUAGCCCAUAUCUGGUUUAAGCAGUGAAAGGUAGAUAGGGUACAGAUGCAGGGCCCAUAGAAUGGGAAGAGUUUGCUACGACUUUCUUAGAUAGAUUCUUUCCCCUAAAGUAGAAAGAAGCCAAAGUGUUAGAGUUCAUCAACCUCAGACAGGGUGGUAUGAGCCUAAAAGAAUACUCCUUCAAGUUUGCUCAGUUAGCCAGGUAUGUUCCCUAUGUAGUAGCAGAUAGUAGAUCCAUAAUGAGUAAGUUUGUGUUUGGGAUAUCAGGUGGAGUGGUUAAGGAGUGUAGGACUGUGAUGUUAAUUAAAGAGAUGGACAUAUAUAGGCUUAUGGUCCAUGCUCAAUAGAUUGAGGAGUAGAAACUUAAGAAGAAGGAGAGAGAAAAUAAGAGGUCCAAAACUGGUAGUCAAUAGUUUUUCCCAGCCAGGGUCGUAGGGUGGUAACCAUUCUCAGCACAGACAGAAGUUUCCAACCCCAAUUUUAUCUUCAGCUAGUGCACCAGUAUCAAAGUUCAGAAAUGACCAUAGAGAUAGGGCACCAGGCUUCAAGGCCCAGGGUAGUGAGAGCAGGGUUUUUAAUCAUCCACGUUGUGAAGAGUGUGGUAAGAAUCAUAAGGGUAUAUGUAGAGUCGGCAGUGAUAUGUGUUUUGAUGUGGCGAGAAAGGUCACAAAGUCCGAGAUUGUCCUAGGCUUGGUCCUCAAAGUCAGCACGAUUGUCCUUAAGCUCAUUCCAGAUGCCUAAAUCAGUAGGGUACAAAUUCCAGCACUAUCAAUGGGCAACGCCCAAACAGACUAUAUGAACUUCAGUCCCGAUAGAAUCAAGAAAGUCUUCCUGAUGCAACUACUAGUAUGUUACAAAUCCUCAUUUACAUGUUUUUGUUUCUUCAGAUUCAGGAGCUUCUUUUCUUUUGUAACUCUUUGCAUAGCAGUCAACCUUAAGGUUAGACCAAAUGUUAACAGGACCUUUUUCUAGUCUCCACCCUAACGAGUCAGUCUAACACAAUCCGACAGGUAUACAGGAACUGUUCGGUUAUAAAAUCUCAGAAAGUCAGGCCUUCAGGUUCUGAUCGUAAUGUCAAUAUGUGUAGAAAACCAAUAAGGAAAGAUAAUUCCUAACCCAUUCCUACCUUAAUGCAAAGUUUUGUAUUUCAACCCUCACGAUACCUAUGCAUGUUUUAUGUUUUGGUCCGACGAAUACAGCUUAUAUCCACGUGCACUUCAUAGAAUAGUAUGUGUUUUAAGUUCCUCGUAUGAGGAGUUCCAUUUCACUUAGUGUUACAAAUUAUGUCCCAUGAACAUAUAGAAAUUCCAGACUCAGUUCAUGCAGCUCAUGACUCAUGACUCAUCCACUCAUGUCAUGCUUUAUAGUAUGCUCAGCCCACAUGACUCAUGCUCUACUUCUAGUGAUUAGCCAAGCUUAGAUUAUGUUAUGCAUACCCUCAAUUUAGGGUCCUCGGUGAAUCUGUAGUGUUAAUGUUCCAUCCUGCAUGCCUCAGUUACAACGUCAGUUCAGUAAUCAAUAUUUAGUAAAGGACUUAGAUAGUCCUACAAAACCAUGGCUUUCAGCUAUCAGUUACUUAGCCAUCAUAAUUCAGUACUUCCGUACCAGUCUAAACCUCAGUUAUAGAAAACCAGCAUUCAGUCUCAAUUACCGUCUUAACUAUAAUCUUCUUCCCAGUCCCAAGUUUAGUAAGAUCAAAAACUCAGUCCAGUUUCAAGAUUACCCGACCAUAUCAUAUGGCCAUCAGUUACUCAAUUAUUAGUAUUAUAGUACCUCAGUUUACAGAAUGCUUCCAAAUUAUGUUAGACGCCCGGUCUUAUGUUUCUAAGGUAAUACAGUUUUCCCUCACUCAUGCUUAAUUACCUCAUAUUACCCAGUUAGUCGUUACCUUCUAUGCAUAAUACUCUAUAGUUUCAGUCCAGCUAUCCCAAACCAAGUGCAGUUCAGUUUUACAUAUCCAGUAUUUAGCUACCAGUUAUUUAGUUAAUCAGAUAAGUUAGUAUACUUAUGCAUUCUUGCUCAGUGCCCAUGUGAAUCUUUUCAAUAGUCUCAGUUGCAGUGCAUAAAUUUUACUCACCUUAUCGUAGACAAUGUUUCAUAGGCGUUACCUCCUAAUACAAAAAUCCCAGCCAUGUAGUGAUCUCCUAUUUAGAUGUCCUACUCAGGCCAGAUCAAGAUUCAGUUUCUCCCUUCAGUCACUAGAACUCUAUAGAAAGAAUGUCAUAGGAAUGAUCCAGUCGAAUACAAGUUUUCAGCAUGAGUUAGUCCGUAAAGCCAGUAAUUUAAUUUAAUAGUCAGACGGAUAAGUUCGGAUAGUGUGGUUUCCCUAUCUUUCCAUUUAGUCGCACUAUCCGGAGUCUCAUGAAUGUGAUCAUUCUAAAAUGGACCAACUAGGUAGUUGCGUGUUCAACUUGACUUAUGUAUCAUGCCUUAGUUUUAGAUUUUAGAUAAUCAGUCGCGAUUCAUUUCCUAAGAGCUUUGUGCAUCGUCUCAGUUUCCUUAAUAUCUCAGCAAAGUCAGCCCAACAUUCUCCAAGGGAUAUAGUGUCCCAAGGGGCAGAUACACUAUAAUCCCCCAAACUUUUAUGACUUAAACAUGUCACUCUCUCUUCUCGUAAUGAGUCCAGUUUUGAAUAAGGGAUACUUUUGAGUUGACCCUCAAACUCCGACCUCAAUUGUAAGCCCUGUAUUCAAGGUGCUCAGUUCAGAUCACGAUAUCCAGGUCGGGUGUUACGUUUCUGACUUAGUUAUGUUCUUAUGUUUCUGCCCAGGCAUAUUUGGUAGUUAAUCUCAGACUCACCAGCAUUUUUCAGUUUAAGGUAACAGUCUUCCUUGAACUCAUCCAGUUUCAAGUUCAGGUUUCAAUUACAAACUCAGUAUUUAGUUCCAUGUUCAAGUUCCCAUCAUAAUUAGGGUAUCAAAUACUAUUGCAUAUUAAGUCAUGCAUUCAUGUAUCAGUUCAGUCAUAUAAUCAUGCAUCAGAUAUGCAUUCUAAUGGUGAGAAACUCAGAUUAUCAUAAAUCUCAAUCAUGCAUUCAUGAACAAGUUACACAUGCAUCAAAUAUGCAUGUUUAGUAUGAUAUAUAUAUUCAUCUUAUCAGUUAUAUCAUUUAUGGAUCAGUAUGUAUGUCAGUUAUCUCUUCUUCCCUCUCAGUCAGUCUUAUUCGAGGACGAAUGUUCUUAAGGGGAGAUAUUAUAAGACCCCAUAAAAUUUUUAAGCUUAAUUUAGUCCUUUAAGCUGGGCAAAGGGUCCCAAACUUAGAAAAUUUUAGCUAAGUUCCUAGACUUUGUUUAUUUUGGCCUUCAAAAGUUGGCAAUCUCAUUUCGCCACCUUAAUGUCCUUUAAUUGUUCGUAUUUUCUGUUAAUUCAUGAUCAAAGAUGUCAAUAGUUGUUUUCGAAAAAGUUUUGGGUUUUAUGGAACACAUUUAGGUCAUGUUUGGAGUCCCAAAAUAGUAGACCAACGCAAUUUUGGCACGCCGCAUCGCCAAUCACGCUGGUCAACAUUUGUGCAGGCUACCAGAGCCAAAACUUUUGAGGCUCAACACAAACAUGGCACUACGUGUCGAGUAUCGCAUCACAACCACCAAUGCGCCGCAUCGAUAAUAGCAUCAAUGCCGAGUUUAAGUCAUUAAAUGUUCAUGUUUUUAAGGGCAAAAGGGUUAAUUUUCCACACCUAUAUAAGUCUAAAACUUGUAAUUCAGCCCUAUUCCACCCAAAAUAUAGUGUCUCUCUCAAGUUUCUCUCAAGAACAAGUUAGGGUUUUCAAUUGUGGAUCCAAAUCCAAGAAAAUUCCACCAUCAAUCUUUGUAGAAUCAAGGACUAAGGUAUGCAUAGUGUUCAUUCAUGGAUUCCUUUCAUCCAUGAAGCCCAAGAAUCAAGUUUUAAAUCAUGUAUUAUGAAUAUUUUGUUGUGUGUUGAUCAUGUUCAUGAGAUUAUGAUUAUGUGAUUCCCAAGUUGGAAUCUUUAUUUGUUUUUAUGAAACUAUGUUAGCAUGCAAGUUGAAAACUAUGAACUUAGUUGGUUAUGAUGUGUAAAUUUAAUGAUUAUGCCUAUGCCCUAAGUGGUGCAUGUAAGGUGUUUGAUAAAAUGCCUAAGAGAUAGAAAUUAUGCAUUAUAUCUUAAUUAUGACCCAAACAAUAAAUACAUGUUUUACCCGUAUGUUCAAAUGACUCCCAUGUUAUUAUUAUGCCAUGUAAUUUCUUGAUGGGAUGUUCAUGAGGGUAGAAUGAUAAAAUCUUGUCAUGUUUAUAUGCAUUCCUACCAUGUACAAGAUUAUGAUAACUAUGGGCUUUAUGAAAUCCCCAACUUAUUGUAUUAUGGAUUGUUGAUGUUGGUCAUGUGUUCAAGAAGUGUCAUGCCUUGCCAGUUCCUACUAUCGAGUCCUGGGGGUACUUGUACCCGAUAAUUUAGCUGUGUGCCUAGAGCUAGUGUCAAUUUUCAUGAUACUCCCAGUCAAUCCAUGAUCAGUAGAAUUCAGUCAGUCUUAUGACUCACGAAAACUCAGUAUCAGUCUAGCCCUAAUCAAUAAUCUCAGUAAUCUUUGUAAUCUCAGUAAUCCCAAUCAGUUAUCAGAUCUCAGUAGUAUUUCAUCAGUCAACGAAAUUUGGUGAACUCAGUUCGAAUCAGUUAUACUAUACUAUGAGUAACAAUUCAGUUUUAUUUAAAUCAGUUCUAGGUCUUUUCAGAUAGGAGUAGGAUUGAGCACUGAGAGAACCCAAGGAUGGGGACUCACCUGUUAGCCAGUAGAGGGUGUGAUCCUUAGAAGCAAUCUUUGAGUUUCAUAACUACGUAGCCAGUGUAGGUGGAGAUUUACCCUACGAGAUUAGGGAUUAUACACCUCAUUUAAGUUUUUCUACUAGGAGGGGUUGACGGAAAGCUCCCUGCCAGAGAGGAUUUACUCACAGCUUGUCUUUACCUUUAGCACGGUACUGACACCCUUCUAAGGCUAGCAACAUAACCGAAAAAUUCUGUUCCGGUCCGCCAACUUUGGUUCCUCUAGGUUUCUGAUUCCGGUAAGCAACGGUUCCGGUUGGGUCCGAUAUACCAAUACCCAAUGGUUUGGAUAAUGUUACCAGUGCGGAACAUCAAAAAAUAUGGUAUUUCUGGUUCCAAUUAACCGGUUUUCGUACCGAUUGAGAAGAUUCCGGUCCGGCGAAUGCAUUAAUUUCUAUUUUUUUUAAUUGAGAUUUGGUUGGCAACAGCUCUUUUGUCCGUUGAUUUCUAGUCCUUGCCCCCCCCUCUUUCCCAAUUACCCCACCCCUUCUCAAUUACCCCACACCAUCCCUUAAAAUUUUCAUUAUAAAUAUCCUUCUUUUCAAUUCUUUUUUCACACAAAUAUUAUCAAUUCUCACACUCUCUUUUAAUAUCACAUUCGCUCUAAAUAUUUAUAAUUGUUAUAUUAGUUGGAGUUGAAGAUUCAAUUAUUAUAUUAGUUGGAUUUGAAGAUUUUUUGAAGAUAUUAUAACCUUCAAUUAUCAUUUUUAAUUCCGACAUUUGGUAUACGUCUGCUUUUACGCAGAUGUUCGGUAUAAUCGUUCCAACUUUAAGCUCUUUUUAUUUUCGUUAAUAUCUAUAUUUUAAUUUUUUAGUAUCUUUAUUUUUUUACUUACAUUAAUUUUGUAAUUUAUAAUAUUUGUAUUUCUUGUGUUAAUAUUUUAAUUUAAAUUAUGAAUUUCAAAAAAAAUACUAGUGGUAAAAAGCCAAACUUUGGUAAGGUUUUUCGUAGAAAGAAAAAAAGUAAGGCUAGUACUAGUUCAUUACCGCCUACAUUUAAUGAAACUUAUUUAUCACAAUCUAAUGUUUUCGAUAUUGGUAUCGGUAUGGAAUUAGAUAAUGAGACCCUAAGUAGGCAUUAUAGUAAUUUUAAGGAAGACUUACCGGAGGAAGAUGAUAUAGAAGAACAAGAGUUAGGUGAUACCCCUACCCCUACUAGUACGGUUAUGGAAUUACCGAAAUACAGUGAAGAACUUCCCCCUUUACCGAAAUUUACUAGGGCCAAAGGUACCGAACAUACAAAAAGGUCUUUAGUUUGGAAAUUCAUGGAGCAUGAUAGGGUAAAAGGUAUUGCUACUUGCAAUAAAUGCAAGAGUAUUUUUAAACAUUUGACCGAGGGAAAAAAUGACGGGACAGAAUUGCUAACUACGCAUUUGAUGAGAUGUAAUAAAGAAUUUAUUCGUCUAAAAAAUGAGGCUAAGACAAAAAAAGAUGGUACAACAUUUGUACAUGAAUCUUUAGGAGGUAAUAUGGGUCAAACGUAUUUAGACAUGUUUAACCCCGCUGAAGCAAGUUCAUCAUUGACAUAUAGUGAAGAUGUAUAUAGAGAAGAACUAGAGAAAAUGGUUGCUUUUAUGGGUUUGUAUUUUAGUUUUCCUUCGCAUCCCAGUUUUAUUCGUUAUAUUCAACAACUAUAUAAUCCCUCUUUUAAAGGUUUUUCACAAAUUACAAUUAAAAAUGAUAUUUUUAAAUUUCAAGAUGAACAUUGUCAUUUUCUUCAUUGCUUAUUUGAUAAAUUUGAUGGUAGAAUAUUUGUUACUUCUGAUAUAGGUACUAGUGUUGUCGGUAAUGAUUAUUUUACUCUCACGGUUCAUUGGAUUAAUCACAAUUGGAACAUGCAAAAAAGAAUUACUGCUUAUAAAUAUGUUGACGAGUCUAAAACCAGUAUGUAUAUAGCUAGUACAAUAGCGGAGAGCAUGAAAUAUUUCAGAUUUAUUGGUAAACCUAUGCCAUGGACAUUAGAUAAUGCUUCUAAUAAUUUGAAAGUUAUUGACGAGUUAAAAACUAGAUUAUGUUUAAUGAAUGAAGAUCAUUUUCAUGUUAGAUUAACUGUACAUAUUUUAAAUUUGAUAGUACAUGAUGGUAUUCAUUUGUUUGGAAAUGGUUGUCUUAAAGUGCGAAUUGUUUGUAGUUAUAUGUUUAAAAAUAAAAGAAAGGGUGUAAUAGAUGAUUUUAAACGUAAAUGUAAACAACGUGACCUUCCAUAUAGAAAAGUUCCAAAAGAAAUUCCUACUAGAUGGAAUUCUUUGUUUCAAAUGUCUGAAGUUGUUGUUAUAUAUCGUAAACCUAUACAAUUAGUUUAUAAUUCUUAUAAUGAGGAUGUUAAUUUAAUGCUAGAUGAAGAUGAUUGGACUGAAGUAGAAGAACUUUGUAAAUUUUUGAAAACUUUUUAUCAAGCUACGAACUUAGUAUCUACUUAAUAUACUCCAACUAUUUCUUAUGUUUUAGUAACUAUUACUGUUAUUUCUAAAGUACUUGCUGAAUAUAAAAAAAAUAUGUCCUAAAAAAGAGGCAAUUUAAGCUAUGAUUGAAAACUUUAAAAAAUAUUAUUUUCCUAUUCCACAAUUUCUUUUAACAAUUAAUUUAUUAAACCCAUUUUAUAAAGAACAUGGUACAGUGAUGUUGGUCAAAAAAUUAUACAACAAUUUAGAAAUGGGACGUCAUGAAAAGCCAUCAGUUGAAACUUAUUGUGCUAGCAUAUUAUCUACAGCUAGGAGUUUUAUAACUUGUAUCAAGUUAUGGAACAAAAUAUUAGGUCGAUCGAACCUCCUACUUCUAGAAGUAGAUAUGAUGAUUUAGAUGACGAGAUGGGCGAAGAACUUGGUAUUCAAUGUUAUAGGAGUAAUGAUUUUGAUUCGUAUCUUUCACAGGAUUGGAAAAAUAUUAGAGAUAAAACAGGAAAACAACAACUUUUGUCGUGGUGGAGGACCUGUACAGACAGUUUCCAAAACUUUCAAGGAUGGUUCGAGAUUUGCUAUCAACUCAAGCUUCUUCAGUUGCUUCGGAGCAAGCUUUCAUCACAGGAAGAUUUAAAAUAGGAUAUCAACGGUAUUUGUUAGCAAGGGAUAGUUUGGAGAUUUCAGUAUUAUUUAGAGAUUGGAUCAAUGCCAAACGAAGAAAUUUUGGGCUCCCCAAAUUACCGCCCCAUAUUGAAGACGAAAAAGAUGAAAUUUUUUAGGAAAAUAGUGAUGAUGGAAUGGAAGCAAUGUAGGAACAAGGAAAUAGACGAAUUCCAAAAGAUUUAUCUGCCGAAGAAAUAAAAAAGUUACGCCAAAAAAAUUAUAGACAAUUUAGAUAUUAAUAAGAUCUACAAUAGAGAUCUAAUUCAAAUAGAACCCUUCCUAGAAGGUGGUUGCGUAGAUUAGAUUUUCAUUUAAUAUAUUUGUAAUAAAUGUACAACGUACAAAAUUUGAAUAAAUAUAAUGGCUAUUCACCUAAUUUUGUUUUAAAAUUUGUCUUUUGUUUGUUGUAAUAAUUUUGUUUGUUAGCAAAUUUUCUAACUUCUUAAACUUAUUAAAAAUAUUAUAUUGACUUAAACUUAUAUUUUUUAUGUUAAAAUUUUAAACUUUUUAAGAUAUAUUAAUAAAUUAUAUAAAUUAUAUAAGUUAUUAUAUAUAUAAAACUUAUAUAUUAAUACCAUUAAGUUAAGAUAUAGAUAAUUUAAAUUAAAAUUGUAAAACAAAAACUGUAUUACUGUACACUAUGUCAUCUAUUUCGGUAAUUCUAGUAUCGCUCCGGUGUCACUUCGGUCCACAUCGGUAGCAAGCGGACCGGUCCGACCAAUGAAAAAAUUUCGGUAAGACCGGUUCCAGUAACACCGGUUCCGGCAGCAAAAAUGGUAAGGAAGUUCCGGUAUCGGUUCUGGUAUCGGUUAAAUUGGUCCGGCAUUUCAGUUUUGGUCCGUUGCAGCCCUACACUCUUCCAGCUGGGGUUACAGGUUGGACCCCACCAAUUCAGUUUUGGGGCAUGUCAGUUAGAUGACUACCUCCCACAGUCUCAAUUUUAGUCUCAAUCUCUAUAAUAGAACUCAGAUAGUUCUACAUAAUUCAAGACUGUCAGAUGGGGUCACUCAGUACAGUACGAAACUUAGCUACUUCCAUUAGAACCUAUACUAUCAGAUACAGUCACUCAGUACAGUACAGAACUCGGCUAGUUCCAUCAAAACCUAGACUGUCAGACACAGUUGCUUAGUAUCUAUUAUAUUAGUUAUCAGUAACUCAUGGUAUCAGUAUUCAGUUUCAGGACUAUCAGAUAAAGUCAAUCAGACCAGUUCUUCAUAACCAGAACUGUCAGAAAUAGUCAUUCCUGUAUGAGUAAUAUGACAUUAGUCCCUAAGUACACUAUAGACCCAGUUAUUCAGUACCCCAAUAUAAGAACUCAGAUAUCAGUAAAUCUAUGUGAUCAAAAUUCAUUAGUUAGUGUUAUCACGGUCUGAUUUAUAGUUACGCAUUUAUGUAUGUAUUCUCAUGUCCAUGUUAUUUAGUUAGUAAUGUUCAUUCAUAUAGACCAUUUCAUUAAGCCUUACCUCGCUUGCAUACCAGUACAUUCAAUUGUACUGAUGUAUUUGCGCUAUGGUGUUUUAUUCUAUACCAUAGGUUUAGAAGCAAGAACUUCAGAGCAUCAGUAUCAUUCCAGUUUCAGCAGUCAGAGUCAGCAGUGAGUUCUCUUCCUUCAAGGACAUGAAUAUUAUUUUAUUAUUUCAUUACUUAGUUUAUUUCAGUAGUUGGAGUUAGUUGGGGACAUGUCCCAUCAACACCUUAUUCAGAUAGUAUAGAGGCUUUCAGACUAUAGUAUGUUCAGAUAGUUUAUUUUAGUAUUGGGUAUUUUUAUACCUUGCUCAGAUAUUAUUUUCUCAGUUAUGUUACAGUUUUGCACCUUACGGCCUUGCAGCUUAUAUUUCGCUUCUUUACGGUAUAUAUAUAUAUAUGUAUAUUAUGCAGUUCUCAGGUACAGAUAUCAGUCAUGGUUAGCUUGUGGUCCUUCGGGGUCAUGAGCACCGUGUAGCAUUUUGGGUACUAGAUCAGGGGUGUUACAAACUAACUCAGAUAUCAACAUUUAAUGGAUAAAAUGGUUGCAAAAUAAGAUUGCCAACUUUCAAAGGCUAAAAUAACACUAAGUCUGAAUACUUAGCUAGAAUUUUCCAAGUCUGGGACCCCCUUAACAAGCUUAAAGGACUGAAUUAAGCUAAGAAUUUUGCGGGAUCUUACAAUAUUAAGGCCUAAAAUUUAAUCUCAAAAAGGUGCAUCUAUCAUCGAGUUUGAAUCAAAGACACUAAGUCAAAGGCUCCAACAGUUCAGUCAUUUCGUAUGGUCAAUGAUUUUCCUAAAGUUUUUCCCAAAGAUUUGCCAGGGGUACCUUCUGAUAGGGAAAUAAAAUUUGGUAUUGACCUUCUUCUAGAUACUCAAACCAUCUCCAUUCCUCCAUAUCAUAUGGCUCCAUCUAAGCUUAAGGAGUUAAAAUAACAGCUUAAAGAUCUUUUAUAUAAAGGUUUCAUAAGGCCCAGUGUCUCUCCAUGAGGUGAUCCCCUCCUUUCGUGCAAAAGAAAGAUGGUUCUUUGUGAAUGUGCAUUGAAUAUCAUCAAAUGAAUAAGGUCACAAUCAAAAACAAAUAUCAUGUUCUUAGGAUUGAUGACUUAUUCGACUAACUCAAAGUUGCCAGUUACUUCUCCAAGAUAGACCUUAGAUCCGGGUAUCAUCAGCUUAGAGUAAGGGAAUGUGAUAUUCUAAAGACAUCUUUCAGAACUCGUUAUGGUAACUUCGAGUUUCUAGUCAUGUCCUUAAGGUUGACAAAUGCCUUAGCAGCCUUCAUGGACUUAAUAAACUGAGUAUUCAAAUAGUAUUUAGACAUGUUUGUCAUAGUCUUUAUCGAUAAUAUUCUUGUCUAUUCUCGUAGUGAGGAUGACUAUGCAGACCAUCUUAGAAUUGUGUUGCAAACUCUUAGGGACCACCAUUUGUUCGCCAAAUUCCAUAAAUGUGAAUUUUGGCUAAGAUCGGUGGCUUUCCUUGGUCAUAUUGUUCCAGUGAUUACAUUAGAGUUGAUCCCCAAAAGAUAGAAGUAGUAAGAAACUGACCUAGACCUAUUUCUCCAUCAGACAUCAGAAGUUUCUUCGAUUUAGUUUGCUAUUACAGACAUUUUGUUGAGGGAUUUGUCUAUUAUGUCCCCCAUAUCUAGAUUCACUCACAAAAAAGUUAAGUUUCAGUGGUCAGAUUCCUGUGAGAAGAGUUUUCAGGAGUUGAAAACUCAACUCACUUCAGCUCCAGUUUAGCACUACCUGAUGGUACAUAUAGGUUUGUUGUCUAUUAUGAUGCUUCUAGAAUCGGUCUGGGUUGUAUUUUGAUGCAGGGGGUAAGGUUAUAGCCUAUGCCUCUAGAUAGCUUAAGCCUCACGAAAAGAACUACCCAUGAUCUUGAGUUAGCUAUUGUUAUAUUUGCAUUGAAGAACCUCCCUAUAGAAAACAGUAAAGAAUAACAGAAAAGCUUUUAGAAACUAACUGUAAAGGCUUACGAUUUUAUCAAAUAUUGUUUUAUAUAAAUCAUUAUCUAUAAGAUUACAACAUUCAGUUUAUAGAUACAGAGGUGAGUCCUUUUACACUUAGCAUGUAUGAUUUGAAAAACAUAUUUCAAGCACAUAUUUAGAACUAAGUGUGGUCGCUCACAGCAUUCAUAUAGUAUGUUUUGUUAUUAAUGAUUUAUGAUUACAGCUUUUAAUUACUCAAGCCAAAGUGAGCCAUUAUUACUUAGCAUGCAUUAUUUAUGAGAAAGAUAUAUGUAUUCCUUCACUGUUUUACUAUGCAUUUCACCUCUGUAUGCUCAGUACAUUCUAGAAGUACUAAUCCACAUAUACGUCUGUGUCGCACAUCGUUUAAUAAUAUAGGUUCAGUUGCUCAAUUACAACAGUGUGGGUGAUUUCAUGCAUCUCCAUCUACAUCCAGAUAGUUGGUGAGUCCUCAUAGUUUGGGGACCUAGUUAUUCAGAUUUUCUAUCUAAUUGCAGUAGUGAUUCAAUAUUUUCAGUCAGUUUAAGUCGGUUGCGGGUUUGUCCUAGUGGCUCUCUAGUUAUUAGUAGUAGAGGCUUGUCAGACUGCUAGUUAAAAUUCAGAUUCCAGUGUUAAUUAUCCAGAAUUUUAAGUCAAGUAUUUUAGGAUAUUAUGUUUAGAUAAUUUCAACUUAGAUCAGACAGAUUUUCGCAUUGAUUAUAUGUUUACAUUUCCCCAUUUUGAGUUACAGAUUUAGUAGAAGUCUUAUAGGGUUAGCUUGAGGCUACUCGUAGUCUUGAGCACCGUGUGACAUCUUAGGACCCUUUUUCGAGGUGUUACACCACUAUUAGAAGAUCUAUGGUUUUUCCUCUGAUUUUAAAUUCAUUAAAUCUAAAAAAUAUCAAAAGGGACCUUUUGCAAGUAAUGUUUUUAACAUAGGGAAACAAUUUCAAUAGACUACAGGGAAUGUCACAUAUCUGAACUCUUUAAGCCAAGAUAAUGUUGCGCAACUCUUGCAACUUUUACAAAAGUUGAAUCAUAAAGAUGUAGGAAAUGUAGAUGCAUCUUCAAACAUAACUUAUGCUUGUAUGGCUAAGUUCUUUAAUUCUUCUGCUUUUUGGUUUACAAUUGGUGAUUCUUGGAUAUUAGAUAGAGGAGUAUCUAAGCACAGGACUUUUGAUAAAAAAAUAUUUUAAAGUUUUAAUCUUCUUUAUAAACCUGUAACAUUAACUCUUCCUAACUCCCACAAGGUAAAAGUUACUCAUUCAGGAUCAAUUUCUCUCCUACAUUAUCUUACUCUACAAAAUAUUUAAUGGAUUCCAUCUUUUAGGUUCAAUCUAAUUUCCAUUCAUAACUUGUGUAAACAACUUCAGAAAUUUAUUCUUCUCACCCCAAACUGUAGUUUCAUGUUGCAGGACCCUUCACUGAAUAGCCCUCAGGUGCUUUGUAGAGAGCAGGAAGUUCUAUAUAUUCUUAAAUCAAGUUAUCUAGAAGUUUCUACAAAGAGCCUACCAAGUUUUAAUCCUCACAGUAUUUUAUUUUAUAAUUCUUUAGGAGAUAAAUUUACUUCUUAUUCAAGUUGUUUUGAUUCCAAUGUAAAUGAAAAACUAUGGCACUAUAGAUUAUUGCCAAAAAAUAAUAUGAAGAAAGUUUUUCCAAAUUUUGUAUCUUGUUUAAAUUUUUCUUCUCCUUGUGUUAUUUGUCCAAUGUCAAGACAAUCUAAUCUAUGUUUUCCUUGUAGUGUUAUUUCAACUAAAUCUAUUUUUGAUCUAAUACACAUGGAUACUUGGGGACCUUACAAAUUUACUACACAUGAUGUUGUUAAAAUACUUUCUUACAAUUGUUGAUGACUUUAGUAUAGCUACUUGGACACAUCUUCUGAGUACAAAAUCUAAUGUUUUUUCCAUCCUUUAAUCUUUGCUUUCUAUGGUAGAAAGACAAUUUAAUUCUAAAGUUAAAAUUAUAAGAACUGAUAAUGCUUUUGAGUUAGAAAAUGGAAACGUACAAUAUGAUUUCUUUCUUUCUAGGGGACUAUUCAUCAAACAACUUGUGUUUAUACUUCACAAUUUAAUGGAGUAGUGGAGAGAAAACAUAAGCCUUUAUUGGAAACAUCAAGAGAUCUUUUAUUUCAAUCUCAUCUUCCUAUUAGUUAUUGGGGGGAAUGUCUUUUAACUGCAACUUAUCUCAUAAAUAGAUUUUCCUCAACUGUUUUGAAUUCAAAAACUCUUUUUGAAGUUAUAUUCAAGAGUAAACCAUCCUAUGAUCAUCUAAAAUGUUUUGGGUGCUUAUGUUUUGUAUCUACUCUAUCUAUCAGUAAAACUAAAUUUGAUCCUAAAGAAACACCUUGUAUUUUUAUAGGAUAUCCCUAUAUAAAGUAUUAAAUUUGCAAACCAAGAAAAUUACAAUUGCCAAUGACGUUAUUUUUCAUGAGAAUAUUUUCCUUUUAUAUCACAAUAUGCUUUCCCUUCUACUAUAUUUUCUUCUGAUGCGUCGAAUUCUUCUAUUUCUCUAUCACAAUUUUUCCUUCCUUUAUUAGAUUACUCUACUGAUUAUGAAUCUACUCCUGAUCUAAUAGUUUUACCCACUACUAUGCCUCAACUUCCAUCAAGUUCCAAUGAUGUGCCAUUGGAAGAAUAUAUUUGUAAUGUUCUUCACCUUACAGAAAUGACUGCUACCUUUUUUCUCAGUCUCGUUACUCUUAAUUACUUGUCUUAUAAUGCUUUAUCUUCUAAUAAUCAAGUCAUGAUCAACUCCAUUACUAGUAUACAAGAACCUUUUAAUUAUAUUCAAGCAUCACAUCAUCCAGGUUGGCAAGAAGUCAUGGAUAAAGAACUUCCAGUUUUACAGUUAAACAACACAUGGGAUAUUAUUAUUCUUCUUGUUGGAAACAAACCACUUCCUUCUAAAUGAGUCUAUAAAGUCAAAUAGAACUCUGAUGCAAGAAUUAAAAGACAAAAGGCUCGAUUGGUCAUUAGAGGUGAUGUGCAGAGAGAAGGUAUAGAUUAUAAUGAAACUUUCUCUCCAGUAGUCAAGAUGACUGCUAUUAGAUGUAUUUAGAUCAAGAUGACUGCUAUUAGAUGUAUUUUAGACAUUGUAUUGAAGAAUAAUUGGGGAGUUUUUCAGUUAGAUAUUAAUAAUGCUUUUUUAUGGUGAUUUUCAUGAAGAAUUUUAUAUGAAAUUUCCACCUGGUGUUACACUACCAUCUCCAAAUCAUGUUUGUUUGCUGAAGAAAUCUGUUUAUGGGAUUAAACAAGCAUCUAGACAAUGGUAUGCUAAGCUUUCUUCCUCUUUUAGUUUUAAGGGUUUCAGACAAUCCUUCAAUGAUUAUUCUCUCUUUUUUAAUAAUUUUGGUGAUUUAAUCUAUUGUAUCAGUGUAUAUAGAUGUCAUAUUUUUGACAGAAAAUAAUGAAAGUGAACUACAAGCUUCAAAGUUGUUUUUAGACAAAGAGUUCAAAAUCAAGGAUCUUGGUCCUUUGUAUUUUUUCUUGGCAUAGAGGUUGUUCGAGAAUCUAUAGGGAUGCUUAUUUCAUAAAGGAAAUUUACAUUAGAUAUAUUGAGAGAAUUUAAUGCUCUUUAUUUAUCUCCCGUUUCUUCACCUUUAGAUCAUAACAUCAAACUAUAGGCUAAUCAAGGGAUUCCUAUGUAAGAUCCUACUUUAUACAAGCAUUUAUUGGGUAAAAUCAAUUAUUUAACACAUACAAGGACUAAUUUGUAAUUCACAAUGCAACAUUUGAGUCACUUUAUGAAGGAUCCAUGUGAACCUUAUUUUAAAGUUGUAUUGCUAGUGCUUUGCUAUCUGCUCACUAAUUUAGGUCUUGGUAUAUUUAUGUCUACUUAUACUUCUUUUGAAUUGAUGGAAUUUUGUGACUCCGGCUGGGGUACAUGUCCAGAUUCAUGAAAAUCAGUAAGUGGGUGAUGUAUUUCCCUUGGUUCCUCUCCUAUUUCAUGAAAAUCAAAGAAACAAACAUACAUCUCUCUUAUCUCAGCCAAAGCUGAGUAUCACUCUAUGAGGAGGGUUGUAGUUAAGCUUACUUUUUUGGUUUACCUUUUCAAAGAUCUCAACAUCUUAAUUCUUUUACCACCUCUUUAUUCAGACAACCUUGCCGUCAUUCAUAUCGCAAAAAUCAGUUUUUCAUGAACAGACGAAGCAUGUUGAAAUUGACAGUCUCUUUGUCCGUCAGUAGUACCUUGCUGAUUGUUCUCAAUAUCGUAUGUGAGAUAUUCUUCUUAUCUUUCGGAUAUAUUCACUAAGUCGUUCACCGGGCCUUUGCAUCAUCAAUAUCUUGGCAAGUUGGGUGUCUCUUCCAUACCUCCAACUUAAGAGGGGUGUUAAGAUCAAUAUUUUUCCUUGUUGGGAUUCAACAUUUUUUUAUUUUUGGAAUUUAUUGUGAAUAUAUUUUAGGUACAUAAUAGAUAUUUUUUCCUUUUUUAGAUGUACACAAUAUUCUCUUCCCUUUUAUUUAUAACACCCUACAUUUUUGGGCUAGAGUUCAAACCGUCGUUCCUAUGUGUAUAAAAUCUAAUCCAAUGAUUUGUAUAUGAAUAUAUGUGUCAUGAUCAUUUAACUAGUGUGUAAAGUAUUUUCGAGGUGAAGAAUGUUAAUAGUAAACACUUAAAGUAAAGUGGAGUUAAGAACUUUUGAUUCAACCAAAAUUUUGGUAUUUAAUCCUACAAGCGUCAACUUUGAACGUGCAUAACUUUUAAAAUAUAGGAAAUUUUUUUAUCUCAAGACCCACCAAAUUAUAUAUAAAUGUAUCCUCUUUCAAAAGCAUCCGAUUUUGUCUUAAUCUGAUACCCGAGCAAAAAGUUAUGAGCAUUCUUGUGAGGAAUAAUGUUCUAUAGAAAUAUAACACUUUGGACACUUAAAAUUAUGAAAAUAUGCAAGUUUCUUAGGUUGUUUUAUUAGAUAUGAUGUGUCUUGGGUAUGUUUUGUAGGAAACUAGGUUUUGGAUGCUAAUUUUGUGAAAUAGAUGAUAAAACGUAUUUUUUGCAACUUAUGUGAUCAAUUAUGGGUGUUCGUGACUCUUUCUGGAUUGUUCGUGACCAAAGCAUGUAUUGGAAUUUAAGAAGAGCUGAAAAAAUACUUUUGGCACCUACCUAUGUCAAUAUGCAGACUGCAUGUAGGCAAAGCAUAUGACAGAGAUCCAAAAUACUGAGAGCAGAGCGGCAGGAUUUUUUGGUCUGAGCCAGGGGCAGACCUACAUUCAUUUGUGGGGUGCUCCAUCACCUACUCAACUCGACGCAGAAUAGGUAAGAUUACAUAAAAAUAUACUAAAAUAGAUAUAUAAUAAAUAAAAGCACCCACUAAAAAACAGUUGAUUGGGUGAACUGGUAUUUAGGUUGACUUUAAGGUUCUCCUCUAGAAAGGAUGCCCUAGGUUCAAACCUUUUCAGUUUUUAAAUUUUUUAAGAACCCAAUAUCCUUAAAUCCUGGGUCCGCCACCGGUCUGAGCACAUGUGGAGUCCACAUAUGCCCAGCUUUAAGCCAAAUGUACCACAUGCGCCUAAGGCCAGGCCGCAUGUGAACACCACAUGUGGCCACCGACCUUUUUUUCUCGUAUUUCAUUUGGGCUUUGAUUUUAGGGUUUCCUCAUGUACUAUAAAUACCCCUUAUGUGUUUUUUAGUAUAAGUUAUGCACUCUUGAUACAUACAAACAUAUUUUGAUUUCGAGAUUCAAUUUUAGUCUUAGAAUUCUCUUAUGUUGAUUUUGGUUCAUUAAUUUAGUUACAGUUUUGGGCUCUUACUUGUGAUUAUUGUGAUUUUAUCUCAUGCUUACAAUCAUGAAUGUUUUUGAUUACUUCACAAGUAUGAGCGGCUAAAACCCCUUAGCUAGGGUUAUGUAAACCCUGGCGGAUAGACAAAGUAGGGGAAGUGUUAUUGUUGUUCUGAACCGAUACCAUGCUUGAAUUAUAUUAUCUUCACUUUAACAGUUAUCUUAGUGGUUGCAAAUGUUAGGAUCCCGCCUAGAUCAUUGCUACUUACUCCAAAAGAGGAGAAGUGACUAGGAAAAGAUAAUGACAAUAGUAAUUUGAUGGUUAGUUGUUGAUCCAUUCUACUAGGUAUUAUCUAAGUAAGAUGGUUAGCUUUCACCUAAUAACUAGAGACUCAAAAAGUAAUAGUUAACGAGGAUCAAGUUAAGGGUUAGUAAGGCGACAUCCUGAGACUCAAAAGGUAAAGGAUGAAAUUUAUCAGCUAAUCCAAAAGAUUGUUGAUGGUACAUAACUUAUCGAUUUUACAUGUAAGUAUCAGGUUGGUUCAAUAAAGCACGAUAAGCCUACAGAGUUGAGAAGCCAGGGGUAACACAGUCCUACUGUUCACAUACCACUGAUUACAACCGAAGUUGAUAUUCGCCACUAGUUUGAUAUUACUACUCAAAAUCCCCUAUUUACUUUUCCAAUUCUGCCCGUAGAUUACCCCAGCUGGCAGCCAUAAUUCCAUAUAUUCCCUUAGGAUUCGACCCAAACUUUUGUUGGUUUACUAUAUUUGACAACAGCCGCAUAACCUUUAGAGUGAAGGUGUAGCUAAAGCGUUAUCAAAUUUUGGUGCCAUUGACUGGGACUAUAGUGUUGAUUUGUGAAUUGAAUUUGUUGCAGUUUAUGGGGUUUUCUUUUUGUUUUUGUUCUUAGUUGGGUAUACGUUGGUGUAUGCUUAGCACACGAAAUAGAGGCAAUCCCGUAAUCCCAUUGAACCUGAAUCCAGAGAGGAUCCUACAAACACUUAGUAGGAUAACGGAACAGAAAAGAGAUGAUAUUCCUGAAGGGGUUUGUGAUGAUGUGCCUUGAUGUGCUGGCCUUCUGCUAGCACAUUUAAGACUUUUAACUUGGAAUAAUUGUAAGUUCUUAAGUAACUAUCAUUGUUUUUUAUGGUAUUUCAUGUGAUUUUGUAGGAAAGUGAAGAUGCAUAAAAUAUAGAAAAGCUACAUUGAGAAGGAUGAUUUUUGGUAAAAGAUGUAAGAAAUUAAGUUCUGAAGAUUUCAUCCGACGACUUGGUCUAAUAAGCUAUCAGAUCUAUUAUAAGCUAUUAGGACAUAUCGUCACACAUAGGCAAAGAACAAGAAAGGUGAAGCAUUUCUGACGACAUUUUCUGAUAAGUCACCAACUUCCUAAUAAGCCAUCAGGACCUGUCGUCAGCCGAAGGCAGCAAACAUGGAAUUUGAAGAGGAGUUGACGAUAUUUUUUGAUAAGUCGUCAACUACCUAAUAAGCCUUCAGGACUUGUCAUCAGCGAAAGGCAGCAAACAUAGAAUUUGAAGAGGAGUUGAUGAUAGUUUCUGAUGAGUCGUCAGAUUCCUGAUAAUUCAUCACACAUAUCGUCAAAUUUAUGAUAAGUCGUCACAAAUGUCUUUAGCUAAAGGAGCAAAAAUCUAAAUUUUUAGUUUCGAAGUUCCUUUAAGUUACAGAUAUAAAAUAGCAGCUUUUAGGGUUUCAUUCAACACCUGCAACUUAUUCCAAAGGAAAAGUCAUCUCUUUUUGGGCCUCUUAACUUAGAAUUCAAUUUUCAACUCUGUGAUUGGGUUUUAGGAAUUUUUUCUUGAACUGGGAAGAGAAUCAACUUCAGACUUCAUCUUUUGUAAGUUUAAUUGCUUUGAAUGAUGAAUACAAUUGUUGUUAUCUCUUUCUAUAUCAUGUGGAACUAAAACCCAUAACUGGGGUUGUGGGAUCUAUGAUUAUUCCUCCGUGGAUUUAAUAGUUGGUUAGGGUUUGAGUGAUUGUGGGGACAUCUUAAUAAUUCCUUUGUAAUGAUAGUUAUCUAUUGGUUACAAAAAAUAGAUCUCACCUUAUGUGGAUUUGCUUGAACUGAGAAAUAAACUAAAGGCAUCGAAUUAUCAACGAGGAUUUCGAAAGGUUAAGUUCUCAUCUAAUGAUUAAUGUUGUAACAAGAUUGAUCAACUUGAGAUAAAAUUAGUAUGAAUAGAAUGUUUUCCUAAGUUCAAGAGAAUUAGGGAGUUCAACAUCUAGGUAGGUUGAGAAACACUUAGAUGGACUGUCAAAACUGAUAAUUUAGUGUUUUCCAUAAGUCAUGAGAAUCCAGUACUACAACUAUCAUUCAAUGAGGGGCUAAUAAUCAUAGUGAUCACAACCCUAGUUUCUCUCUAUCAUUGAUUUGAACCAUUGAAAUUUUAUAUUUGAGUUCUGAAGCAAGUCAAAACUUUAAUCAUCAUUUCACUGAUAAAACCCCCAAUUAAAGGAAACCAUUAUCUAUCAACCAUUUUAAUCACAAAUAGACUUAAUCGAAACCUUAUUCCCUGUAGGAUUCGACCCCAACCUAGUUGGGUUAUAUAUUUGACAACGAUCGUUUAUUCUCUCGUAAGAGAGGUGUAAUUUGGGAGUAUUAAAUUUUGGUGCUGUUGUCGGGGAAUAAAGUUGUAAAUUGAGUAUAUCCGUGAUAAUUGACUUGUAAUAAGUUUCCUAGUUUUACUUUUAUUUGUUUUUUUGUUCUCUGUAGGGUAGUUAGUAUGUAUGCCAAGUACACAGAGUUCAGGUGAACUGUUAUUACCCGUACAUUCGGAACCUCGGUUGAUCGGUAGAAUGGCAGACACACAAGAAGUAGGAAGACUAGCCGCCUUAGCUAGGGCUUAGCUAAAUCAACAGAAUAUAGAUAACCCAGGUCAAGUACCAAAUCCAAAUGAAAAAGACCUGGGAGAUGAUGAUCUAUUAGGUCUGGGAAAUCGUAGGCGUGCAGAAGAUAUAGUGGCACCGGUUGAUAGAAAUGUAAGCAAAAUCGCCUAUUCAGAGCGAGGUAGGAUCGUUAACAUGUGCAGUAUGAUCUUAAUGAUGAUGAGGAUGGAAUGGAUGGAGUAGGUGCAACUGGAGCUAUUAUUCCCCCACCUUUGGUACCCGAAGCUAAGUUCCAUAUUAUAGGCACGAUGAUUCAACUCCUCCAUGUUAAGGGGUUGUUCGGUGAACUCCCGGGUGAUGAUCCCAAUAUGCAUUUAGUGAAUUUUGUCACUAUUUCUAAAUCUUUUGAUAACCUAGGAGUAGGACAAAAUGUCAUCCGCCUACGCUUAUUUCCAUUGUCUCUGUCUGGGGAGGCAACAUUGUGGUUAAAUGAGCUAACACCCGAUUCUAUAACCAACUGGAAGCAGUUGAAAGAGGCUUUCCUAGAAAGGUUCUUUCCACCUUCCAGAAGGGUACCGCUGAGGGAUGAGAUCAGUAACUUUAGGCAGCUCCCAAUUGAAGCCCUUCACGAGACAUGGGAGUGGUUCAAAAAGAAGCUGAUGUAGUGCCCGAACUACAAUAUGACGAAUAUUCAUUUGAUGAAGACUUUUUAUCGGGGUUUCAACUUUAUUACGAAGCCAAUUGUUGAUAAUGUUGCAGGGGGAUCAUUUGUGGAUCUCACUUUUCAAGAGGCUUCAGAGAUGCUUGAUCGGAUAACAAAACAAAGUAGAGCUUGGCAUACCAGGGAUUCUGUGGUAGCGAGCCCUAUUAUUUCUAUUGGCAUGACUGUAGAAAAAUGUAGAAAGGAGGAGUGUGAUCAAGAUAUGGCGCACUUGAAGACGCAGAUGGACUUAUUGACCAAGCAUUUAUUAUCUAUAAACACGGAGAAAGUGAAAGCUGUCAGGUCCCAAGGACGGGUUGAUUCUGAUGCAGAAGAGGAAGAUAACUAUCUCAAUAACCAAGAGGGUUUCCAAGGCAGUAGACAGGGGAAUCAAGGUCGAACUUAUCAGGAUAAAUCGAGUUAUGGAGAUCAUGACCAAGGGACUUGGAAGAAUAAGAAUGACAGGAGUGGACUUUAUGUGCCUCCUGGCAAUCGAGACAAUGCUGCUACUAGCUCAGGCAAAAUGUCCAUGAAGGACAUGAUGAAGAGGUUCCUAAAAGGAGUGGAGGCCACCAAUGUAUGUGUGACAAUAAUGAAAAGUGACUUUUCGUUAUUGAUUCAAUUGGUAAACUCGCACUAAACUUCAAUCAAACAGUUGGAGCAACAGAUGAGCCAACUUUCAGCAGUAUUGAAUCAGAGGAAGAGCAGAACAUUACCUAGUGAAACAAUUCAAAAUCCUCGUAAUGAUGGUACUUAUAUGGAAAUUACCACUCGGAGUGGUAAGAUAUGGUUGGAAAAGAUUAUAAGACUGAGGAAAGUAAUCCAGUGGAGUCUGAAAAACUGGAUGGCAUUGAUAUCCCAUUUAAUCAUCAACAGAGUGAUGAGUUAGAAAAAGGGAAAGAUAAGGAAAAGAAAGUAGUGCUGAACACUCUCGCAAAACCACCACCUCCCUUUCCUCGAAGAUUGAAGUAGAAAGCCGAUGACAUAAAGUUUAGUAAAUUCAUGGCAAUAUUGAAGCAGUUGACAGUCAGUGUGCCUUUGGUAGAGGCACUUGAGCAAAUGCCAGAAUAUGCUAAAUUUAUGAAGGAUCUUAUGACAAAGAAAAGAGCAGUGUGCUAUGAACCAGUGGAUAAUAUCCAUCAUUUUAGUGCUAUUUCUACAAAGUCCUUGGUGCAGAAGAAGGCAGACCCAGGAACGUUCACUAUUCCUUGUACGAUUGAAUCUUUGGAAUUUUUUGUGCCUCCCCAUCCUCCCAAAGAAGUACAAGAUAUUAUUGACCAGUAGAUAAGGGUGCUUUUACCAUAAGCCACUAAUGAUGGAAGGGUAGUAGAAGAAGCUCAGCAGAUACCUAGCGAGGCAGAGCUAGCUGAGCAAAGACAAAAAGUAGACCGACGAGUAGCACUCAGUGGAAAUCAGAAUAGAGUUAGAGGAGGGCGUCCUCAAGUAAUCCCAGCAUAUCAAUAUGUGCAUCCAUACAAGGAUGAUAAAGUAGAUUUGGGACACGUUGAGCCAGCAAAGAUCGGAGCUAUCAUUCCUUCUGUUUUGACCACAAAUGUUAAGUUUAACAUAACCAGUGCUAUGAUCCAGCUUUUACAUUUAAAGGGUAUGAUUGCGGGGUUGCAAAAAGAUGACACAACCAUGCAUCUAGACAACUUUACCAGAAUUUGCACUUUUUUACAAAUAUAGGGGUGAAUUAAAAGGCCCUCAGGUUGAGGUUGUUCCCUUUCUUGCUUAUAGGAGAAGCAUCUUUAUAGUUGGGGUAACUUAUUAGAGGAUCUAUCACUACAUGGAAUGAGUUAUGCAGGCAAUUCUUGAAUAGGUUUUUUCCUCCAUCCAGGAUGUUGUAGCUUAAGGACGAGAUUUAUAAUUACAAGUAGUAGCAAUCAGAAUCUAUGUAUGAGGCAUGGUUCAGGUUUAAGAAGAAGAUUCGCAUGGUGCCCAACUAUCGAAUAUCGUGGCUAAGCUUAUUAGAGUUAUUCCAUAGUGUCCUGACCAUCAGUUUCAUAACCAUGGUAGACACUAUCUAUGAAGAAUUUGUUAUAAGAUUAUGUUGGGAGGUAGCUUUUGAUAUUCUAGACUAGAUCUCUCUCACUAAUCGGGGGUGGAAAACUCGAGAAGCAAAUAGAGGUUCGUACACUUAUGCCAUUAGAGUUUUUGGUGAUCAGAGAGUAGAUGAUGAUUUUGUAGCACAAGAGAUUAUGCUAUUGGGGACUGAUUUUGGGUUGCUAGCAAAGCAGUUCGCGAUUGUGAAUUUUGAGAAAGUGAAUGCAAUAGGAGUAUAAGGUAUAGAUUCCAGAGUGUAUAAGUCUAAAUUAGAAGAGGAGUCUAGGUAUUCAAAUCAUCAGUUGGUAGGCUUUUGAGCCCAAGAUAUAGAAAACUAAGGUCAAAACUUCUAUAAUAAUAAAUAUAGAGACCAUAGUAAAGACAGAGAUAGUGACUGAAGAUGGAGAGAUGAUUACAAAGAGAAAGGAGACAGGUAUAUUCUGCCUGGUAGACGAGAUACGGAAUCUAGAAUGGAAGAAAUUUUGACCAAGAUGGUCAAGGGUCAAGAAAGUCAGGAGGCUAGCCUUAAGGAGAUCAAGGCUGAUAUUUCAGGUUUGACCUAGAAGGUUGAGUCUCAUGCAAUGGCUAUCAAGCACUUAGAGAAUCAACUUUGGCAGAUAUCUAUCACUCUACAUCAAAAUCAGGCGGGUACCCUCCCGAGUAACACAAUGCAGAAUCCUUCAAACAUCAGUCGCUGUAUAGCUAUCACCACUAAUUGUGGCACCACUGCUGAUGAUCCCUCAGUACCUUCUAUUGAGGAGUUAAAGAUUGAUAACACUAAAAGCGAUGAGACACUUGAGGCAGAGUUUGAGAAGUUAACAUAGGGUGGUGAUGAUUUUGAGUUUGAUAGUUGUGAGGAUUGGUUCGAUCCCAAUGAUCAUAUGCACCCUUAUAGUGUGACCCCUUCCUUAUCAUUAGUAGAAAAAAAGAAGGACCUCAGAGCAGUUACCAUUCCAUGUUCGGCUGGUCCUUUCAGUGUAAAACAGGCUUUAUGUAACUUGGAAUCAGGAGUAAAAAUUAUGCCAUUGGGUGUGUAAAAGUUGUUGAGGAAGGGGGAACUUAAGCCUACAUCUAUAAAACUAUUGAUGGCUAACUCAUCUAUGAAGAAACCUACGGGUGGCAUCAUUUAUGUUCCCCACUCAUUUCAUAGUUCUUGAUUGUGAGGUGAAUUUUCAAGCCCCUAUUAUAUUGAGUAGACACUUCUUAUCCACUGGUAGGGUGUUGAUUGAUCUAGACAUGGGGGAGAUCACCUUCAAACUAAAUGAUAACCAAGUAAUUUUUUAUGUGUGUAUGACAGUGCAGUAGCCUGGUGAUAUAUGAGUGGUGUCUGUGAUAGACGUUAUUGAUGAGGAUGUUGUUGCAGAGGUUAAUAUGCAAGAUAUACCAGGUGUUAAGAGAGGAUAGAGAUGACAGCCACUCAGCUACCAAUUAUUAAGACCGAUGUGGCAAAAAUAUAUGAGCAGAUCCAGCCAUGAGUCUGGACUACACUAGAGACGGCAGAGGCUAGACUAUAGUCUGCACAUGGGGAUGCAAUAUUAGAGCUCUGAGCUGAGUUGCACUUAUGGAUAGAUGUUUUUGAGGGUCAAGUAUCGGUCCAAUUCAGCAGAAUUGAGAUGUAGGAUCUAGGAGACAUUAGGGAGGAGGUGGACCUACCUAGAUCAGAGGUACGUUCUCUCACUGAGAGCCAUAUAUCAUACAUCCCUACAGUCUUUUAUACAUUACCUCUGUGUGGUCCCAGAAACUUUGAUUUAUUUGCGGAGAAUGAUGUAGUGGUCCCUAUAGUUGGGACCAAGAGAGGCUGAAAGGGGAACCUACAAAAUCCAGACAGGCCAUAUGAGCAAGCCCUGAAAAGGGCCAUCUAUGAUUUGACAGAGAAUGCAUUUUAUGAUAGGAAGAGGUGUGUCGAGCUAGUUGUGGGUACAUCCUAUCGUAGCGCACCGCCACCACCAUGGCCUGAGUCAGUGGAUAUGCCCCCAUCUGGGGAUACUCAUGACAUGGACGCUUAGUGCAUCUCGGGUAUUUCCCCAUUCCCUUUGUUUAUAUUAUUUUUAUGCAUUAGGGAUAGUGUGCAGUUUUUAGUUGGGCGUGGGGUAUACAAUAUCCGUCACCAAUUUUUGUUAUCAUGCUUCUUUUUCUAUCGGUUGCGGUAUAGUUAUAGACCGAUAUGUCUAGGUUAAAAUUUGUGUUGUAUUUAGGGCAGUUCUAGGAUAUUUUUAAGUAUUUAGGGCAGUUUUCAUGUUUUUGAUUGAUUUUUGAGAAAAAUGAUACCCCUCUAAAAAUUAUGUUUUAGAGCUGUGUGAUUGUCUAUAUAUGUAAACAUUGUGGAUUUUAUUAUUGCAUUAGGAUUAGGGACAUGAUAACCACUUGCUAACAGUUGCAUGAACUGGAUAAGUAGUAGCUUGUAAUAUUGACUUUGUGUCGUGUGUGUGAGAUGCUACUUAGUUCCCUUUGUGUGUUGAAUUUAGAACAUGCCCAAUUAGUCUUGCCUAGGUUAUAGGAUAGUUGGUUAGGAAAGGAUCAUAGGUCAUUUUUAAUAUGAGUCCACUUUUAGCCUAAAUGACCUUCCAUGUGUGAAGUAUCUCUUGAUCCCUAUUUUGAGCCUAAUAGCCUAUUCAUAUUAUUGCACCUUUCACCUUUCCAUUUGUAUUACAAUGAAUCUGUUUUGGCCUUAGUCCUCCUUGGACAUUAUGCUCCUCAACUCUAGCAAAAUGCCUAAGUUGAGGGUGGCUAUCAUAGGGGUGCUUAGUGUAAAAUGGGUAUGUAGAAGGGUAAAAUAAGAGAAAAAUUUAGUAGGGUUGGGUGUGAAAGAAAAAUAAAAAAAUAAAAGAAAGGAAAGAAUGUUAAAAAGGUGAAAAAGAAAGAAUAAAAGACCACCCCCAAACUAAAAGAGCAAUAAAAAAUAAAAAUGGAGAAAUAAGGGUGGAAUAAAAAUAAAUUGGCUAGUAAGUGAGACCCCAAGCUUAGUGUAGUGCCAAGGAGACUUAGUCACUUGAUAUGUCCAUAUGUACGAUACCAAACCCCAAGCCUACAUUACAAACCGAGAAAACACCUAUAGUGAUCCUAACUUAACUAUUUGAAUGCUAAGGUAAAGAAAAUAAAGGCAAACUUAUGGUAUUUGAUGCACAUUGGUUGGAACUACACUUCUGAGUGUGAGUGUCUCUUUAAUGUCCCUGCAUUGACAUACAUUAUUUCAUGUGAGUGAGUGGGACAUCUUUAUUGUGAGGGCACAUGAGUCAUAUUGCUAGCUGCUUACGCGUUUGGGUAAGUUAAUUUGUACAUAUGCAUGGUUGUCUAUUACUAAUGUAAUGCCAUACCUUGAUCCCAUUAUGUAACAUUGUUGUGCUUCAUAGUUAUACACAGUUGUUUUUGAAAAAUUAAGAUAGGAGGGGUGUUGUGAUUUGAGCUUAAAAGUGUUAAUAGACUGCCUUGAAUAGCUUAGACUCUCCUAGUUAAGUGUCGUGUCUUAUUUUAUUUUAUUUUGUUGUGUUUUGUUUCCUGAGGACAUACAAAUAUUCUAAGUUGAGGGUGUUGAUGUGCUAUAGAAAUAUAGAACUUUCGACACUUAAAACUAUGAAAAUAAGCAAGUUUCUUGGGUUAUUUUUUUAGAUAUGAUGCGUUUUGGGUAUGUUUUGCAGGAAACUAGGUUUUGGAUGCUAAGUUCGUGAAAAAAAAUGAAAAGGUGUUUUUGGAUACUUAUGUGAUCAAUUAUGGAUGUUCGUGAUACUUUCCAAAUUGUUCGUGAUCAAAGCAUGUGUCAGAAUUAAAGAAGAGAUGAAAAAAGACUAUCGGCACCUACCUAUGUCAACAUGCGGACCGUAUGUAGCACAUGUGGACCACAUGUAGGCAAAGCAUGUGUCAAAAGUCCAAAAUCCUGAGAGUAGAGCUGCAGGAUUUUUUGGUUUGAGCACAUGCAGUGGCCACAUGCACCCAGCCUUAGGAUGCAUGUGGAUACUAGAAGUGGCCACGGACUCUUUUUUCUCUUAUUUUGUUCGGGCUUUGAUUUUAGGGUUUCAAUGUACUAUAAAUACCCCAAGUUACUCAUCUUAAUACUUACAAACAUAUUUUGACUCCGAGAUUUAAUUUUGGUCAUGGAACUAUCUUGUAUUGAUUUCGGUUCAUUAAUUCAAUUACAGUUUUGGGUUUUUACUUGUGAUUAUUAUGAUUCAAUCUUAUGCUUUGAAUCAUGAAUGUUGUUGAUUACUUCACAAGCAUGAGCGGCUAAAAAUCCUUAACUAGGGUUAUGUAAACCCUGGCGAAUUGAUGAAGUAGGGAAAAUGCUAUUGUUGUUCUGAACUGAUACCUAUGCAUGCAUUGUAUUAUCUUCACUUUAAUAGUUAUCUUAGCGGUUGCAAACGUUCAGAUCCCACCUAGAUUAUUGCUACUUACUCCAAAAGAGGAUUAAUGACUAGGAAAUGAUAAUUACAAUAGUAGCUUGAUGGUUAUUGUCGAUCCAUUUACUAGGUAUUAUCUAAGUAAAAUGGUUAACUUUCAACUAAUAACUAGAGACUCAAACGGUAAUAAUUAACUGAGAUCGAGAUAAGGGUUAGUAAGGUGACAUCCUGAGACUUAAAAGGUAAAGGGUGAAAUCUGUCAGCUCGUCCAAAAGACUGUUGAUGAUACAUAACUUAUUCAUUCUGCAUGCAAGGUAUUGGGAUGGUUCAAUAAAGCAUGGUAAGCCUAGGAAAUUGAGAAGCCAGGGGGAACAAAAUCCAAGUGUUCACCUACAACUGAUUACAAUCAAAGUUGAUAUUCACCACUAGUUCGAUAUUGCUACUUAAAACCCCACAUUUACUUUUUUAGUUUUGCCCGUUAAUUACACCAGCUGAGCGCCACAACUCCACGUAUUCCCUUGGGAUUCAACUCCAACCUUUAUUGGGUUACUAUAUUUGACAGCGAUAGCAUAACCUUCGGGGUGAAGGUGUAUCUUAGGCGUUAUCAAGAAACUAGUGAGGGUGCAAAAUUUUAGUGUGGCACGGAACUUCUGCUCUAUAAUUUUCAGCGUGGCACGGACCUUAUUCAGAAAUGCUAAAACCCACAUUUCUCUUCAAUUUUUCGAGGGUAAACAAGUUAUUUACAUCCUAAACUGUCCUAUGACUGGUAUAAAUGUGAUUUUAUUAUUCCAUAACUCCAAAUACAUCAAAUACAUGAUUCAUCUCCUCCCAAAUUCUCAAGAAAACCAAGUAAGGAUUUCUUCUUAGAAUUCACCUCCCAAGGCUCCAAAUCCAUGUUCCCCUUUUCAAGAAGUCAUGAAAGUCAUGUAUGUGGGUAUUCAAUGUGGAUCUCUUUUCAUCCUCAUGUCCAAAAUUACGUUUUUUAUUCAUGAAUUUUAUAAAUUCCAUAAAUUAGGGUUCCAUGAAAAGUGUAAAUUCCAUGAUUCCUACAUGUAAUUCUUGAAUUCAACCAUGAACAAGUGUUUCCUCAUAAUUUUAAGUAUUCUUCCGUACCCUAGUCAUGAUAACUUGUUUUGUUGAUGAAAUUGUUGGGUUUUGAGUUUUGGUCAUGAAAUUUCCUAUCUUGUCAUUACUUCAAAAAUAAUCGUAUUUAACUGUAUUUUCAGUGCUGGCAGGUUAUGAACACCUGAUACCUAUAUGUUUAUGCAUGUCAGAUUUUCAAGUUACAAGUUAUUUAGACCAUGUUUGUAUCACUAUAUUCAGACUAUAGAUGCAUUGUUAUUUUCACAAUAUCAUAUUUGAGCAAAUCAGUUGUCAGUGCAUGUACUAGUUUAUGAUUCUAUGUCUAUUCAGUUGGGAGUAAAACUUAGCACCGAGCGAAUUUAGUGAUGAAGGCUUUCCUGCCAGCAUAGGGUGAGACCUUUAGUAGCAGUCCUUAAGUUCCAGAACUAUGUAACCAGCAUAGGUUAUGUGAGUCUUCCAACCAUCUAGGGCUAAUAAUCUCCUGGGGGCACCUGCCAGUUUAGGGUGACACCCCAUCUUUUGGGACAUCAGCUUUGUGGAUCCACAACGUCAGUGUCAGUACCCGUUGCAAGGUAUUAAUACCUUUCCAACUAGGGUUACAGGUUGGACCCCGAUUAGCUCAAAUUGGAUCAUGUCGGUUAAAUGUUAGCUCCCACAGUCUCUGUUCAGUAUUCAAACCACAUCAGCUCAGUUUUGUAUGACCAAGUGUACAGUUUAUCAGUUAUUCAGUUUUACGGAUUAUUUCAGCACAUGUUUUACUUGGUCUUGCAUUCAUUUUACAUUCAUGCAUUCUUGCUCAGUAUUCAUACAUGAUCCUUAGUACAAUUUUACAACCUAUAGAGCUUUAACUUGAGAUUUACAUAAGGUAUUUCGGUCUCUACUGCUUCCCAGUUUACGGAAAUGCUUUCAGAUCAUAAUUUAGAAAUUUUACUAAGUCUUGCACCUUUCACAUUCAACCAUGAUUUAAAUGCAUAUUUCAGCAAAUAGCUUAUGUCCUCAGUUUUAAAGCAUAAAUUAAGUAUUCCCAUGAUUUAGUGCAUGUCUCAUAUACUCAGUACAUUCCAAAGUACUUACCACAUAUAUAUGCAUUUGUGGAUAUAUUCCUUCAUAAUAUAGGUACCAGAUGUAGCCCACAUACCAGGGUCAGACAGUUCUCAGCAUUCACCCAGCAGGUGAUGAGUUCUCUUAUUUUGGGGACUCAUGUCAGUUCCAGUUCCUGUAUUUUAUUUUCAUUAUUCUUAUCUAUUGAUUAGGGAUAGUUUAGAGGUCAUGUCAUAACUACCUAUAGUCAGUAUAGUAGAGGCUUCAUAGAUGGUCAGUUAGAGUCCGUAUUUGAAAUUUAAUUUUCUCUCUCUCAGAUUUCUGUGUUGUAAACUUUAAACAAUUAUGUAUUGAAACAGCUUAUCUCAUGUUGAUUAUGCUUCCACUCAAUUAUUUAGUGUUCAUAUAUAUUAAAUCAGUUGAGCAAGUAUCAUGCCAGUACAUGGGUUAGCUUGGGAUCACUUGCAGUUCUAAGCGCCGCAUUACGAAUAGGGGGUAGUCUUGAGUCAUGACAUUAUCAUGUAGGGUUAUUGUAUUAGGUUGGUAAUAAAUAGGGGUAUUUUGCACAAAGAAUUCAUCAACUAAUAAGAAGGAAAAUUUCAUACUUUUGCUUUGUUUAUUUUUGCACUGGCGUUGCUCCUAUUUCCAAAAAGACAACAAGAUAUAUUUUACGUAGUUAGAAACUUACCCAGCAAUUGGUUUUAUGUGAUUUGUUAUUGUAAACUCUCUUUUCACUCUCUAUCAUUUCCACUUUCUAUGAAAAAUACUAAAGUAGAUUUUUUUAAAUCAUAGAUUUUCUACUUAAGUUUCUAGAACAGUCCAGUAUAGUAUCUAGGAUAUCUUUAAGGAUAAUUUAGAGUAUUCUUAGAUAGCCAGAAAGUAAAGUUGUCUAGAUUAGUUUUGGAGAACUAGAAGAUAAAGUUAUCUAGAUUGCUCUUAUAUAUUUUCUUGUAGACGUAUCAAGAAUAGCAUCUAAAACCAUCCUACACCUGUAUAAAUAGAAAUGACCUUGGUCAUUUGUAAGUAACCCAAGAAAAACCAAUUCAGGUCAGUUCUAGUUCCUCCAUUAAGAAAGUUCUCCUUUAUAGCUUCAUUUUCUUUACUUAAAUAUCUUGAUAUUAGUAAACGAUCUUGCGCUAGCAAAAAUUUUUCCCAAUUAUACUUUUCUUCUACUAUUCUAUACAUGGAUGUAUGCCAGUGAUGACCUUUUCGGAGAAAGAAUUAAGGAAGAGGUAGUAGAAGUUGAAGUCGCUGAUCAAUCACCUUCCAUAUCAAGGUCAAUCACUACCUUAGACCAAAUAUUAGAAGCAAAUGGAGAAGAUGAAGAUCAAAUAGAUGAAGAAGCAAGCUUUGAAGGCAAAAUUUCAAGUGGAGAGACAGAUGGCAUAACUUUCAAAAUCUCUUAAGCUGCCAAACAAUUUAUUGAGGAGUUGGAAAGGGAAUCUUGUGGUGGAUCCUAUCAUGAUUCUGCGGCUUCACAGAUAAUUGAUGAUCAAAUAUUCACCAACUCAAAAAAGGAGACUCAUCCUAAUGAAAUUUUCCUAUCUUAUGGGGUUGCGUUAGAAGGAACGGGUUCUAAAAUCUUGAAGUGUGGAGUUUCAAACAUUUCCAUCACCAAUGUAUUUAUGGAUUAUAUAAUUUUUGAGGAGCUAAGAGAAAGAGAGGCCUGAAAAUUGAAAAGCACGAAGCUCAACAAAAAGAUAAUUUAUGUGUUUGGCAAAGGCCAAUGAGGACUAUUGUCAAGCCAAAUCGUUGUAAAGAUGGAAACUAUUUCAAUACAUAUACUUGCUUAUUUGCAGGGCAAAUCAUUGAGAAGAAAUCUUCAUUUUUUGAAAAAGCAAUGAAAGUUAACAAAAACUAUUGAUAUCUUUAGCAAAGCAUGCUUCAAAGCUUCAUUUGAGUUCUAUUGCAACAAGUUUGAGGUAGCUUCCAAAAAAUCACAUUAAGGGGGAGUGUAAAAAAUAUUGAAGUAGAUUUUUUGAAAUCAUAGUUUUUCUAGUAAAGUUUUGAGAGUUGUCUAGUGUAAUAUCUUGGACAUGCAUCUUUCAGAAUCAUCUGAAUAUUCUAGAGUAGUGCUAGAAGAUAAAAUUUACUAAAAUUUUCUCAUAGAAUUAUCUAGAAGAAUUUCUAGAAGCCAUUCUUGGAAAAGUAUAUAUAGGGAUGAUAUUGUACAUUUGUAACAAACUCAUAGUAAAUCUAAUUCAAGUAGUCUUUUUGUGUAACCAAGUUGCUUUUACAAAAUUUUUCUUCUCUUUUCUAACUUCCUCUACUUAGUUAAAUUUUCUGACCUUAGUUAAUGAUAUUUAGCUAGCAGAUGGACUCCCCAAUUAUACUUUUCUUCUUUUAUUCUCUACAUCAUGUAGCAAAGCAGAAGAAACUAGCCUAAAUCGUUUACUAAGAUCGAAAGAUUCAACUAAAGAAGAGGAAAUUAGAAAGGAGAACUUUCUUAAUGGAAGAACUAGAAUUGACAUGAAUUGGUUUUUCUUGGGUUUCUAAAAAUGACUAAGGCCACUCCUAUUUAUGCUUGUGUAGGAUGGAUUUAGAUGUUAUUCUGGAUACAUCUACAAGAACAUCUAUUAGAGCAACCUCGAACUUUAUUUUCUAGCAAUCUAAGAAUAAUCUAGAUAACUUCUCUUUCUAGCUAUCUAAGAAUACUCAAGAUUUUUCUUAGAAAUGAUUUAUUUUAGAUACUACACUAGUGUAUUCUAGAAAUUUAACUAGAAAAUUUAUGAUUCCAAAAAAUCCAUUUUAACAUUUUUCACAGAAAGUGGACAGCAAAAUAGACGAACGUAGAGAGGGAAUAGAGUAUAUGGAAAAAAAUCCAUUUUAAUAUUUUUCACAGAAAGUCGACAGGAAAAUAGCCGAAUGUAGAGAGUUAAUAGAGUAUUUGCGAUAACAAAUCACAUAAAAGCCACUGCAAGGUUUGUUUCUAACUAGGCACAGCAUAACUUAUUUUCCUAUUGGAAGUAGGAGCCACGGAAGUAGGUGAAACAGCAGACUGUGGUAAAUAAGAGUGAAGAAUACAAGAAGAAGUGGUCCUGCUAUCAGUUCAAACCAGCAAUUGUUUAUUGGUGCGUCCCACGCACCCGUACAUCUUAGUUAAAACUAUGUAUAUAUAGUAAGUGUGUAUUAAAAAGGGAAUUUAUAUUAAACUUUUCACCUGAAUGAGAAAGUUUGAAAUGUACCCAUGGUACAGGGCAACACAUGUCGCCCUAGUGAUGAGGGUUUGAUGUUGUUUUGUAGCACUACUUUUCUUUCUCGAAGUUUAAGAAAAUAAAACCUCUUAUUCCUACAAAAAGAAAAAUUGGACGGUUUAGGUAUUGAUCUCAGAAUAUCUAAAGGAGAGCAUUACUAAAUAUGCAUAUUUGAUUGAUUUUUCUAUAAUAAGAAAAAUGAUAAUAGACCGAAAGGUAACCUAAAAUUAAAAGAACUGAUCUAAAGGAGAACAUUACUAAAAUUGCAUAUUCGAUCGAUUUGUCUAUAAAAAGUAAAAAAAAUAUAAACAAUCCGAAUCGUAACCAAAUUUUUAAAAACUCGACCCGUUUUUACUAUUUGGACAAUGUGGCACGCAAAACCUACAAAUGCUGGAUUCAUCGCCGCUGAUACUCACGAAAGAACAAAAAAGUUUCAGGCAUAAACCAUUUACAACAGUCAUUCCCAUAGCCAGUAAGCAAUAUUUCUUUUUGAUAUACAACUUCUAGAAAAAAGUUUUCCCAACAAAAAUUUUUCCACACACAUAAAGGAAGUUUGUUUCAUUUUUUAGAAUUUUCCAUUUAAAGAACCAAUGAAAGAUUCAGUAUUUGAUUUUAAUAGUUAUUAUCUCUCUCGGUGCAUGUUAGCAUAAUGUGCGCACCAUGGGGAGGAGAACGUGAUUACCUAGCCGGAGAGCCAUAAAAGCACAGGAAAACACUAUGAAGAUGACUGCACAGCUGAAGAAGAAGGGAAUUCCGGCGACUCUAGUAAAAAUUAUGGUUCGUACUGAAGGAAUUGACGAAUUGGGGAUACAAAAAAUAGAGGGGUUCUUGAACAUGGAAAAGUAUGUGAAUUAAUCGGAAGAUGAAUCAGAGGUAGCUGUUAUGGAUAAUCUACCUUCUCAGUUAGAAAUUGAUGUUGCAAUUGUAGGAAACUCCAAUGGAAUAGUGUUGUUUGGUCAAAAAGAUGUAGUUCUUAUGGGAUAUAAUUUUCGACUGUUAUGCAAGAAUGAGAGAAAAUAACCUAGUCUCCUAGCUAUAGAAAGAGAUCUUGGGCAGAUGAAGUUGAAGCUGAGAUGGAAGUUUAGAGCAAAACCAUCAAUUUGGGAAAAUUUUAAUAUUACUAGGGUUUCUAAUGCUGGUUUCAAGUUGGAUUUGUGCAUCCCAAUAGGCAAGGCACAUCAUCUAUUUGUGAAAUUAAGCUUGAGGAUAUUACUUCAGAGAUUGAAUUCUGGAGGAAUGUUGUGGUUUGCUAUGUGUUGGGGGCACAUCCCCUUUUUCCGUUCUAAAUGGGUAUAUUCACAGACAAUAGGGAAAUCAUGGUGUGAAUAAAGUAUCCAUGCUCAAAAAUGAUAUAUUGUUCAUUAGGUUUUUUCACUCUAGAGGGGAAAAAUAAAGUGCUACAAAGGGAAUUUUUCAUUUUGACAAUAAGCCAUUCAUUGUCAAGGCCUGGACAGAGGACAUAGAGUUUACAAGAGAAGAGUUACAUACUAUUCCUAUUUAGGGUUAAAUUACCUGGAUUGGACUUUGUGUACUGGGACCAAAAGGCUUGAGUAAAAUAUGGAGCCUAAUAGGAAAGCCUCUGGUGGUUGAUAGGAAUAUGGAGAAACAAAUUAGUUUGAACUUUGCUCGAUUACUAAUAGAGGUGGAUGUUGAUACACCUUCACCUAAUAAGGUGUACUUCAGGACUGAAAAAUGAGUGCUUAUUGAACAAAAAAUAUUGUAUGAUGGAAACCGGUGUUAUGCAAAUGUUGUAAAAAAUAUGGGCAUGCUGAGGCUGAUUGUAGAAAGAAGUAGAAUGUGGGAGCAGGGGAGUGUUUAGAAUGUGGGAGCAGGUGAGUGUUUACACCUAAUUUUUAUUUUCACGAUUAAAUUUAAUUUGAGUUUCUUCAAUUUAAAAUAAAAUUAUAAUAUUUAUUUUAUUC